ACGGGUGAGUAAUGUCUGGGGAUCUGCCCGAUAGAGGGGGAUAACCACUGGAAACGGUGGCUAAUACCGCAUAACGUCGCAAGACCAAAGAGGGGGACCUUCGGGCCUCUCACUAUCGGAUGAACCCAGAUGGGAUUAGCUAGUAGGCGGGGUAACGGCCCACCUAGGCGACGAUCCCUAGCUGGUCUGAGAGGAUGACCAGCCACACUGGAACUGAGACACGGUCCAGACUCCUACGGGAGGCAGCAGUGGGGAAUAUUGCACAAUGGGCGCAAGCCUGAUGCAGCCAUGCCGCGUGUAUGAAGAAGGCCUUCGGGUUGUAAAGUACUUUCAGCGGGGAGGAAGGCAAUAAGGUUAAUAACCUUGUUGAUUGACGUUACCCGCAGAAGAAGCACCGGCUAACUCCGUGCCAGCAGCCGCGGUAAUACGGAGGGUGCAAGCGUUAAUCGGAAUUACUGGGCGUAAAGCGCACGCAGGCGGUCUGUUAAGUCAGAUGUGAAAUCCCCGGGCUUAACCUGGGAACUGCAUUUGAAACUGGCAGGCUUGAGUCUCGUAGAGGGGGCUAGAAUUCCAGGUGU
rnacentral:rRNA from 1 species